AGAAUCAACGCUGGCGGCGUGCCUAACACAUGCAAGUCGAACGAGAAAGUGGAGCAAUCCAUGAGUACAGUGGCGCACGGGUGAGUAACACGUGACUAACCUACCCUUGAGUGGGGAAUAACCUGGAGAAAUCUAGGCUAAUACCGCAUAACACCUACGGGUCAAAGGAGCAAUUCGCUUAAGGAGGGGGUCGCGGCAGAUUAGCUAGUUGGCGGGGUAAUGGCCCACCAAGGCAGUGAUCUGUAUCCGGCCUGAGAGGGCGCACGGACACACUGGAACUGAAACACGGUCCAGACUCCUACGGGAGGCAGCAGUGGGGAAUUUUGCGCAAUGGGGGAAACCCUGACGCAGCAACGCCGCGUGGAGGAUGAAGUCCCUUGGGACGUAAACUCCUUCGACCGGGAAGAUAAUGACGGUACGGAAGAAGAAGCCCGGCUAACUUCGCGCCAGCAGCCGC
rnacentral:rRNA from 1 species